GCACCGAAUCCCUGUUGUCUUUAUGGAGCCACGUGCUCGCUUGGCCGGCAGCCGAUGCUCACUGGCCGGGAAAUUCAUGGCCACUUAAAUGCUGUAAAAUGGACCAAGCUGCCGGCACUAAAAACCAAAAGUUGCUCUACCAAAACUUUAGUUUGGCUUUCAUAGACACACAGGCGCACACACCUUGGUCGCUUUUAUGGCUCAGAAUUUUUUCUUUUUGUGCUUCUCGACAUAAUUUUUUCUGUUUGGGUCAGUCAUAAAAAGUUAAAGUUGAACUUUUUCUAGCCGAACGGGUAGCUAGCGGUAAAUCAGUUUUUAUUGUGCAUAAAUUAAAAAUGUUCAAUUAAAAGCAGAUG
ensembl:ncRNA lncRNA:CR43633 long non-coding RNA:CR43633